rnacentral:rRNA from 1 species
AGGGAUUACCUCAGUAACGGCGAGUGAAGCGGUAACAGCUCAAAUUUGAAAUCUGGCUCUUUCAGGGUCCGAGUUGUAAUUUGUAGAAGAUGCUUUGGGCAUUGCUCCGGUCUAAGUUCCUUGGAACAGGACGUCAUAGAGGGUGAGAAUCCCGUAUGUGACUGGUGGCAUUUGUCCGUGUAAAGCUCUUUCGACGAGUCGAGUUGUUUGGGAAUGCAGCUCAAAAUGGGUGGUAUAUUUCAUCUAAAGCUAAAUAUUGGCCAGAGACCGAUAGCGCACAAGUAGAGUGAUCGAAAGAUGAAAAGCACUUUGGAAAGAGAGUUAAACAGUACGUGAAAUUGUUGAAAGGGAAGCGCUUGCAACCAGACUUGCAGGUCGUUGAUCAUCCGGGGUUCUCCCCGGUGCACUCGGCGGCUUUCAGGCCAGCAUCGGUUUGAGUGGUGGGAUAAAGGCCUUGGGAAUGUGGCUCCUUUCGGGGAGUGUUAUAGCCCAAGGUGCAAUGCCGCCUAUUCGGACCGAGGACCGCGCUUCGGCUAGGAUGCUGGCGUAAUGGUUGUAAGCGACCCGUCUUGAAACACGGACCAAGGAGUCUAACAUCUAUGCGAGUGUUUGGGUGUCAAACCCAUACGCGUAAUUAACGUGAACGGAGGUAAGAACCCUUAAGGGUGCAUUAUCGACCGAUCCUGAUGUCUUCGGAUGGAUUUGAGUAAGAGCAUAGCUGUUGGGACCCGAAAGAUGGUGAACUAUGCCUGAAUAGGGUGAAGCCAGAGGAAACUCUGGUGGAGGCUCG